rnacentral:lncRNA from 1 species
CUCAAUGGGGUCAUGGGAGGAGCCAAUGGGGUCAGUGGGACUCAAUGGGGUCAGUGGGGUCGUGGUGGGAAGCGAUGGGGUCAGUGGGACUCAAUGGGGUCAGUGGGGUCGUGGUGGGAAGCGAUGGGGUCAGUGGGACUCAAUGGGGUCAGUGGGACUCAAUGGGGUCAUGGUGGGACCCAGUGGGGUCAAUAGGACUCAAUGGGGUCAUUGAGGCUCAAUGGAGUCAAUGGGACUCAAUGGGAUCCAUGGGGUUAAUAGGCUCAUGGUGGGUCCCAGUAGGGUCAUGGUGGGACCCAAUGGGGUCAAUAGGGUCAUGGUGGGACCCAGUGAGAUCAAUAGGACCCAAUGGGGUCAGUGGGGCUCAAUGUGGUCAAUGGGACUCAAUAGGAUCAUGGUGGGACCCAGUGGGGUCAAUGGGACUCAAUGGGGUCAAUGGGGUUAAUAGGAUCAUGGUGGUACCCAGUAGGGUCACGGUGGGACCCAGUGGGGUCAAUGGAGCUCAAUGGGGUCAAUAGGACUCAAUAGGGUCAUGGUGGGACCCAGUGGGAUCAAUGGGACCCAAUGGGGUCAAUGGGGCUCAAUGGAGUCAGUGGGACUCAAUAGGAUCAUGGUGGGACCCAGUACCCAGUAGGGUCAUGGUGGGACCCAAUGGGGUCAAUGGAACUCAAUGGGGUCAAUGGGACUCAAUAGGGUCAUGGUGGGGCCCAGUGGGAUCAAUAGGACCCAAUGGGGUCAGUGGGGCUCAAUGUGGUCAAUGGGACUGAAUAGGGUCAUGGUGGGACCCAGUAGGGUCAUGGUGGGACCCAAUGGGGUCAAUGGGGCUCAAUGUGGUCAAUGGGACUCAAUAGGAUCAUGGUGGGACCCAGUACCCAGUAGGGUCACGGUGGGACCCAGUGGGGUCAAUGGAGCUCAAUGGGGUCAAUGGGACUCAAUAGGGUCACGGUGGGACCCAGUGGGGUCAAUAGGACUCAAUGCGGUCAAUGGGACUCAAUAGGGUCAUGGUGGGACCCAGUACCCAGUAGGGUCAUGGUGGGACCCAGUGGGGUCAAUGGGACUCAAUGGGGUCAAUGGGACUCAAUAGGGUCAUGGUGGGGCCCAGUGGGGUCAGUGGGGCUCAAUGGGGUCAAUGGGACUCAAUAGGAUCAUGGUGGGACCCAGUAGGGUCAUGGUGGGACCCAGUGGGGUCAAUGGGGCUCAAUGGGAUCCAUGGGACUCAAUGGGGUCAAUGGGGUUAAUAGGCUCAUAGUGGGUCCCAGUAGGGUCAUGGUGG